AUCUUGAUUGUAGCUACGAUCGAGCAUUGCAGGGUUUUCAUAAUCAGCGAGUAGGGUUCAGCAUCGAUCUUCUAAUCCUAGUCGAUCAAUAUGCGCUGGGAUUGGUGGCUCACCCAUUCCGUCCCUAUGCGAAAUCAAGUUUUGGUCUGGGGAGUAUGUCGCAGGCUGGAGCGUGAAGGAAAUGACGAAGGCACCACCAGAAGUGAGGCUGGGGUAAUUGCUCCACCACCGCCGCACUUCCAGUCAGACGUGUGAGUUACAGAUGUACUUUUUCUUGAUCUAUGGUGUGUGCAUGGCCGUUCUUAGUUGGUGCUGUGCUGUCUGGUUAUUUCCGAUAACGAACGAGGCCCUUAACAUGCUAAUUAGUCGUCCCCCAAUUUAUGGGAUAAUGACUUCAUAGAGGGGACUAUGCAUAAUCAAGUGCAUGGAAGUUUGAAAGAGAGAGCGAGAGAUGAAAUGGCCUUUAUAUGUCCUGGGCUGCACGCGUGCUACACUGAUGCAUACAACAAGUGCCUAGCUAGACAUAGUAUGGCAAUCUGGAAUAUGCAUCGUGAUGGGGAUAGAUCUUUGCAAUUAUAGAUCCUGCCCGAGGAAAUCCUAGUAUGUUCAAGUCAUCAUCUUGCAUUGAUUAUGUUCUUGCCCUUUUACACCCCCCGUCGCUCCUACCGAUCCCGGGUGAUCCGGUGAACCUUUUGGACCUUCAU
rnacentral:rRNA from 1 species